CACUCGGCUGAUGGAUGGUGAGCAGUGAGCUUUGACAGAGCAGGAGUGUGCAACAGCAAUGAGGUGACGCAGACAAACGGUCGUGGAACUGCACAAGUCAUGCCUUUUUUGGAAUUCAUAGCUGGAUGCAUUUCAGGUGCAGUUGGAAUUGCAGUUGGACAUCCGUUAGACACCGUGAAGGUUGCAACACACAGAAAGCCAUAAACAUAACAAAAUGCCUGAGUCUUGCUUUUUCUUUACAUUAACCUUAAACAUGUCAGUCAGUCAGGGCUGAGCAGUGGGGCAGUGGUUGGUUCUGUUGCCUCACAGCUACAAGGGUUCCUGUCCUUACCUGGGGUCUUUCUGUUGGAGUUUGCAUG